rnacentral:rRNA from 1 species
GACAGAGGGGGCAAGCGUUGCUCGGAAUCACUGGGCGUAAAGGGCGCGUAGGCGGGAUGGCAAGUCGGUCGUGAAAUCCUUCGGCUCAACCGAAGAACGUCGAUCGAUACUGCUGUUCUUGAGGGUUGCAGAGGAGACUGGAAUUUACGGUGUAGCAGUGAAAUGCGUAGAGAUCGUAAGGAAGACCAGUGGCGAAGGCGGGUCUCUGGACAGUUCCUGACACUGAGGCACGAAGGCCAGGGGAGCAAACGGG